GAUGAACGCUGGCGGCGUGCUUAACACAUGCAAGUCGAACGAAGCACUGAAUCAGAAACUUUUCGGAGCGGACGAUUCUUUGACUGAGUGGCGGACGGGUGAGUAACGCGUGGGUAACCUGCCUCAUACAGGGGGAUAACAGUUAGAAAUGACUGCUAACACCGCAUAAGCGCACAGUGCCGCAUGGCACAGUGUGAAAAUAUUAAUAGGUAUGAGAUGGACCCGCGUCUGAUUAGCUGGUUGGUGAGGUAAUGGCUCACCAAGGCGACGAUCAGUAGCCGGCUUGAGAGAGUGGACGGCCACAUUGGGACUGAGACACGGCCCAAACUCCUACGGGAGGCAGCAGUGGGGAAUAUUGCACAAUGGGGGAAACCCUGAUGCAGCGACGCCGCGUGAAGGAAGAAGUAUUUCGGUAUGUAAACUUCUAUCAGCAGGGAAGAAAAUGACGGUACCUGACUAAGAAGCCCCGGCUAAUUACGUGCCAGCAGCCGCAGUAACAC
rnacentral:rRNA from 1 species